UACGAAGGGGGCUAGCGUUGCUCGGAAUCACUGGGCGUAAAGCGCACGUAGGCGGCUUUCUAAGUCAGGGGUGAAAUCCUGGAGCUCAACUCCAGAACUGCCUUUGAUACUGGAGAGCUCGAGUCCGGAAGAGGUGAGUGGAACUCCGAGUGUAGAGGUGAAAUUCGUAGAUAUUCGGAAGAACACCAGUGGCGAAGGCGGCUCACUGGCCCGAUACUGACGCUGAGGCACGAAAGCGUGGGAGCAACAGG
rnacentral:rRNA from 1 species